GAUGAACGCUGGCGGCGUGCCUAAUACAUGCAAGUCGAGCGAACGGACGAGAAGCUUGCUUCUCUGAUGUUAGCGGCGGACGGGUGAGUAACACGUGGAUAACCUACCUAUAAGACUGGGAUAAAUUCGGGAAACCGGAGCUAAUACCGGAUAAUAUUUUGAACCGCAUGGUUCAAAAGUGAAAGACGGUCUUGCUGUCACUUAUAGAUGGAUCCGCGCUGCAUUAGCUAGUUGGUAAGGUAACGGCUUACCAAGGCAACGAUGCAUAUCCGACCUGAGAGGGUGAUCGGCCACACUGGAACUGAGACACGGUCCAGACUCCUACGGGAGGCAGCAGUAGGGAAUCUUCCGCAAUGGGAGAAAGCCUGACGGAGCAACGCCGCGUGAGUGAUGAAGGUCUUCGGAUCGUAAAACUCUGUUAUUAGGGAAGAACAUAUGUGUAAGUAACUGUGCACAUCUUGACGGUACCUAAUCAGAAAGCCACGGCUAACUACGUG
rnacentral:rRNA from 1 species